rnacentral:lncRNA from 1 species
AGCGAUUCAGGAAGCCAGAAGGUGCUCCUUCACUCUGGCUGGCUCUCUGAGCUGACCUAAGGAGGCUUCUCUGAGCUGUCCUCAGGAAGGCUCAGGAGGCCUGUCCAAAGAGUCCAAAAACCCCAGAGCGUAUUUCUGGGCUGUAAUUGUGAACCCAUGUUCUGAUUCUGCCCGGUACCAUUCAGUCUCCGUCCUUAGCCUUAAUUGUUUGGGGCUUCUGUUUUCCCGAUUUAAAAAACCACAGUUUCGGGGAAUUCCCGUUGUGGCUCAGUGGUUAACAAAUCCAACAAGGAACCAUGAGGUUGUGGGUUCGAUCCCUGGCCUUGCUCAAUGGAUUAAGGAUCCGGCGUUACCGUGAGCUGUGGUAUGGGUUGCAGACUCGGCUGGGAUCCCUCGUUGCUGUGGCUCUGGCGGAGGCCAGUGGCUACAGCUCCAAUUAGACUCUUAGCCAGGGAACCGCCACAUACCGCGGGAACGGCCUAGAAAAGGGAAAAAGACAAAAACAAAAAAACAAACGCACAGUUUCAGGGUUCCUAAAUGCCUGGGGCUUGGUAUGAAAGUCCCCCGGCAUUUCUAGCGCUGAUCUGAAAAGCGAACGUUGGUGCAAACUGCUUUGCUAGGGCAGAAGGCCCACGCUCCAGGCUUGGGUGCACCGCCCAGAUUGGGGGACGACAUACAGAGAGUGAAUCCACCCAGUCCAACCUUUGCCUUCCUACGCAUCAUAAGACUUCUUGGAAAAUGAAACUGAAAACGGGUAAGUCCCUCUUUCUAACCUGCUCGGGCAGCGCUCGCUAAGAGACGGGUGACGGGCCUGGCGGGCAGGGUUCUGAUUGGCAGCCUGGACGUGGGCUAUAAAUGCGGGCAGGGAGCCGAGCUCUCAUUCCACCGCCAGCACCGCUCCAGUAGCGAUGGCUCCCCUCGUGGCCUUGGUCCUGCUCGGGCUGCUCUCACUGUCUGGCCUGGAUGCGGUCGCGCCCUGGCAGAUGAUGGCAAUCAACCUUGACAUGCUGAUUAAGAGUGGGAAUCCCAUUCUCACACACUUGGCCUUAAUGGAGAGUAUGUUUUCUCCCAUUUGCUACAGUCCUCACCCUUCCCUGUUGUUCUUACCCAUCCCAACUCACUCAUUUAAGGUGUUUGCCAGCUCCUCUAGGCCUUUUGGUUCUGUUCCUUUGUUUUCUAGCUCAUGAAAUCAGGUACAAAGUCAGAUUUGUCACAUAGGCUCUGGACAUAGUAAAAAGGUUGUGUUUUGUACAAACCUACUUUUUUUUUUUUUUUUUUUUUUUUUUUUUU